AACGAACGCUGGCGGCAUGCCUAACACAUGCAAGUCGAACGAGACCUUCGGGUCUAGUGGCGCACGGGUGCGUAACGCGUGGGAAUCUGCCCUUGGGUCCGGAAUAACUCAGAGAAAUUUGAGCUAAUACCGGAUGAUGACGUAAGUCCAAAGAUUUAUCGCCCAGGGAUGAGCCCGCGUAGGAUUAGCUAGUUGGUGAGGUAAAGGCUCACCAAGGCGACGAUCCUUAGCUGGUCUGAGAGGAUGAUCAGCCACACUGGGACUGAGACACGGCCCAGACUCCUACGGGAGGCAGCAGUGGGGAAUAUUGGACAAUGGGCGAAAGCCUGAUCCAGCAAUGCCGCGUGAGUGAUGAAGGCCUUAGGGUUGUAAGCUCUUUUACCCGGGAUGAUAAUGACAGUACCGGGAGAAUAAGCCCCGGCUAACUCCGUGCAGCAGCCGCCGUAAG
rnacentral:rRNA from 1 species